AAGUCAGGGAGUCAAAGGUGAUGGAUUGUCAGGAUGGCUAUGUGGAGAGAUGGAUACGCAUCGGUACUACCGGCGUUAUCUGCGGUUGCUUUCCUAAAAAUGGUGUUGGUCUUACUGACCAAGCAAUGUUGGCGACGGCUGCCUCACCGAGUAAGAUCGACGAGGAGAGACCGUCACCGAAAAACUCCCACGACCAAGGUGCAUCAUUGGAACACAUGCCACUAUUGUUAGGCAGGGGUCCUAAUUGGUAAGAAUAUCUAAUUAAUUGGUUGCCCUGUGAAGGAGAUGAAGUAAUUAAUCAUGAGCACGUAUGACCUCAGGUGAUUAUACUGAUCAAGUCAGGGAGUCAAAGGUGAUGGAUUGUCGGGAUGGCUAUGUGGAGAGAUGCUUCGCCAUCGGUACAGCUGUUGUUUGCAGUUUCUUUCCUAAACAUGGCGUCGGUCUUACUGAUCAAGCAUUGUUGUCUACAUCUGGCUUACCGAGGAAGAUCGACGAGGAAAUCGCUUUGCCGUAGAACUCACAUGACCAAGGUGCGUGAUUGAAAUGCAUGCCAUGUAAUUAGUAAGAUCUUUUAAUUAACUGUUGUGUCAAGGAACACCCCAUUGCGAUUCAGUAUCCCAGAUUGGGGUCCUUCCUACAGAGUCAAGGGACUUGUUUGUAAUUUCCCAUUUAUGUCCAACUGUAAUCACUGUUUGUAAUAUGGUUAUAUGAAUAAAGUUUUGGGAUCCUUCGGGAUCCCUCUCUCUGUUCCAAAUAAAGGUAGGGUGAUCAACGUUCUUGGGCAGCAAAUAUACAUGUCCGAAUGGUCAGGUAUUGAAAAA
rnacentral:lncRNA from 1 species